rnacentral:rRNA from 1 species
AGAGUUUGAUCCUGGCUCAGGAUGAACGCUAGCUACAGGCUUAACACAUGCAAGUCGAGGGGCAGCAUGGUCUUAGCUUGCUAAGGCCGAUGGCGACCGGCGCACGGGUGAGUAACACGUAUCCAACCUGCCGUCUACUCUUGGACAGCCUUCUGAAAGGAAGAUUAAUACAAGAUGGCAUCAUGAGUCCGCAUGUUCACAUGAUUAAAGGUAUUCCGGUAGACGAUGGGGAUGCGUUCCAUUAGAUAGUAGGCGGGGUAACGGCCCACCUAGUCUUCGAUGGAUAGGGGUUCUGAGAGGAAGGUCCCCCACAUUGGAACUGAGACACGGUCCAAACUCCUACGGGAGGCAGCAGUGAGGAAUAUUGGUCAAUGGGCGAGAGCCUGAACCAGCCAAGUAGCGUGAAGGAUGACUGCCCUAUGGGUUGUAAACUUCUUUUAUAUGGGAAUAAAGUGAGCCACGUGUGGCUUUUUGUAUGUACCAUACGAAUAAGGAUCGGCUAACUCCGUGCCAGCAGCCGCGGUAAUACGGAGGAUCCGAGCGUUAUCCGGAUUUAUUGGGUUUAAAGGGAGCGUAGAUGGAUGUUUAAGUCAGUUGUGAAAGUUUGCGGCUCAACCGUAAAAUUGCAGUUGAUACUGGCGACCUUGAGUGCAACAGAGGUAGGCGGAAUUCGUGGUGUAGCGGUGAAAUGCUUAGAUAUCACGAAGAACUCCGAUUGCGAAGGCAGCCUGCUAAGCUGCAACUGACAUUGAGGCUCGAAAGUGUGGGUAUCAAACAGGAUUAGAUACCCUGGUAGUCCACACGGUAAACGAUGAAUACUCGCUGUUUGCGAUAUACGGCAAGCGGCCAAGCGAAAGCGUUAAGUAUUCCACCUGGGGAGUACGCCGGCAACGGUGAAACUCAAAGGAAUUGACGGGGGCCCGCACAAGCGGAGGAACAUGUGGUUUAAUUCGAUGAUACGCGAGGAACCUUACCCGGGCUUAAAUUGCAGAUGAAUUACGGUGAAAGCCGUAAGCCGCAAGGCAUCUGUGAAGGUGCUGCAUGGUUGUCGUCAGCUCGUGCCGUGAGGUGUCGGCUUAAGUGCCAUAACGAGCGCAACCCUUGUUGUCAGUUACUAACAGGUUCCGCUGAGGACUCUGACAAGACUGCCAUCGUAAGAUGUGAGGAAGGUGGGGAUGACGUCAAAUCAGCACGGCCCUUACGUCCGGGGCUACACACGUGUUACAAUGGGGGGUACAGAAGGCAGCUACACGGCGACGUGAUGCUAAUCCCGAAAGCCUCUCUCAGUUCGGAUUGGAGUCUGCAACCCGACUCCAUGAAGCUGGAUUCGCUAGUAAUCGCGCAUCAGCCACGGCGCGGUGAAUACGUUCCCGGGCCUUGUACACACCGCCCGUCAAGCCAUGAAAGCCGGGGGUACCUGAAGUGCGUAACCGCGAGGAGCGCCCUAGGGUAAAACUGGUGAUUGGGGCUAAGUCGUAACAAGGUAGCCGUACCGGAAGGUGCGGCUG